rnacentral:rRNA from 1 species
UGGGGAAUAUUGCACAAUGGGCGCAAGCCUGAUGCAGCGACGCCGCGUGGGGGAUGACGGCCUUCGGGUUGUAAACUCCUUUCGCCAGGGACGAAGCGUUUUGUGACGGUACCUGGAGAAGAAGCACCGGCUAACUACGUGCCAGCAGCCGCGGUAAUACGUAGGGUGCAAGCGUUGUCCGGAAUUACUGGGCGUAAAGAGCUCGUAGGUGGUUUGUCACGUCGUCUGUGAAAUUCCACAGCUUAACUGUGGGCGUGCAGGCGAUACGGGCUGACUUGAGUACUGUAGGGGUAACUGGAAUUCCUGGUGUAGCGGUGAAAUGCGCAGAUAUCAGGAGGAACACCGAUGGCGAAGGCAGGUUACUGGGCAGUUACUGACGCUGAGGAGCGAAAGCAUGGGUAGCAAACAGGAUUAGAUACCCUGGUAGUCCAUGCCGUAACGGUGGGCGCUAGGUGUAGGGGCCUUUUGGGGUUUCUGUGCCGUAGCUAACGCAUUAAGCGCCCCGCCUGGGGAGUACGGCCGCAAGGCUA